UCAUCCUGAAACGGUACCAAACAGGGGCAAGUUAGUUGACAGGAAGAACAAUUGCUAUUUGUGGCCAUACAACUACCGAAAACAUUGAAACAGUGUUUUUAGUACCGUCAAAAUGAAUCGAAUGCGCAUACAUGAAUAGCUUACCUCUUCAUCUUCCUCGUCAGAGUGGCGAGCGGUGUCCAGCGGUGAAUAAAAAUCAGUCACACUCUGUGGCGGUCGCUCAUUUUCAAUCAAGAUUGACGGCUGUACCAAAGGUGUACGAUCAUUCGAAAUAUGGGCUACAAUAGAAUAGCAAUAAUUAACACCUUGAAGGAAGAAGGGAGCCGAACAGCACUUACACCUAAAAUAGUGCUGGGCAUGUCGUUCCUGCGGUAUGACCCGACAGUCAAGGAACCAGGCUUCGCCCCAGGCCAGUAUAAAUGAUGUGAUUAUGAGGAUGACUUCGAAAACUUGUUGCUUGGCUUGCAGCCA